CAAAUUUUCACACGGUUCCGUUCGAAGUAUACAGAGGAAGUGAAAUGAUGCUGCGUUCAGAACAACUGGGAAAUCGAAAAAACACGAGGUUAAAUCAUGGCAUCAGUGAUCUUUUGGUCGGAAAGUCUGAGCUCUAGGGAGAGACCUGAGUUCCCGAAAUGCAUGACCAUUCAAAUCGAUUUUUCCUAGUCGGAGAGAAGUAGGAAAUAUGAGAUUUCCGAGUUUCCAGUUGUUUUGAACGCGACAUGAGACUUUGCGUUAUUGAACUUUGACAAAACAAACAAAAAUAGUUGUAAAUGAAAUAUAUAGCUAUUUACUAAACAGGUGGACAAAUUGCCUGAUUGAACUGAUGAGAAAGUAAUAAUCAUUUCAACGUCAUAGGCGAAGUCACUGGCAGCAGAGAACUGGAAGGAAAGGUGGCCAAAGGAGGAGUUGCUAUGGGGAUGACCAUAGCAAACACCUAAUCAUCAGUCCUCGUGAUGAGACCGUAUUACCUGGAUUGUGUUCAUUAGUCAACAAAUGGAAGAAAACAGACUGAAACAGGGAGGGACUACCUGGACUUGUCCAAAAAUAAAUGCUCAUUGUAACGUUUCGUUGUAAAACGUUUUGCUACGUUUUGCCCUAAUCAAUACAGCCCUGUAAACUGUUAGCACCACAGUUUCCCGGGAUGGUAUUUUUCUGCCAACUUCCUUGUGCUGCCUUUUUACCUUUGGGUAAUGUUUUAUUAGACAUUGGAUCGUCAAAUCAUCCUCUGAAUGAUCUGACCCCUUUUUUUUUUCAAUUUUCACCUAAAAUGACAUACCCAAAUCUAACUGCCUGUAGGAAGGAUAGUGCAACAGCUAACCUCAAAGGUUCUUAUGAUCAAAGGGACCAACUGAUAGCUAAAGAAGUAAAGUAAGGAAGUAAAUAGAGAGUAAUCUACUGUAUGUGCUUUAGAAGUGGUUUGAACAGUACUUUUUUGAUGACAUUGAUGGCAGUGGGAGUUUACUUGC
rnacentral:lncRNA from 1 species